rnacentral:rRNA from 1 species
UACGGGGGGGGCAAGCGUUGUUCGGAAUUACUGGGCGUAAAGGGCUCGUAGGCGGCCAACUAAGUCGGAUGUGAAAUCCCCAGGCUUAACCUGGGAAUUGCAUCCGAUACUGGAUGGCUUGAAUCCGGGAGAGGGAUGCGGAAUUCCAGGUGUAGCGGUGAAAUGCGUAGAUAUCUGGAGGAACACCGGUGGCGAAGGCGGCAUCCUGGACCGGCAUUGACGCUGAGGAGCGAAAGCCAGGGGAGCAAACGGG